GAUGAUUCUUUGGUGCUUAUUAUUAUAACCACUGCAUGUUCAUCAUUGUGAAAUUUUGAAAUUCAAAACUAGCUUAGCUCCCAACAUGAAUCCAGCAAGGACAUGCUUUCUUUGUUUUCUUUAUAUAGAGUAAUCGUGAAAAGAAAAUUGUUCAUUGUGAGGGGAACAUAUAUUGAACUUAUAAGAGGUUCCUCUGUUAAUUGAUAAGAUGAUUGAUUCAAGUGUUUGUGUCUUCAAAAAUUGACUUAUAAAAAAGGCUAUUUUAGUAUUUGUUAGUUCAAGCUAAGGACCAGCCUGUGUAAUAUUUUCAUGUUCUUGUUAUGCUUUGGUAUUUUAUGGAGCUGAUGAAAGUGCCAAGAGUGGAGGUAAAAUUAAGAGUGUUCUCUUUCAAGAUUCAGUUUGGGACUCAGGUUUGCUAAUUCUCAAGGUGUUUUAUCUGAAUUUGUUUUCAAUUUGGUUUUUCUUGUUUCACUUCACUUUAUUUUUUCCACUUGAUACAGGCUGAAGAAUUCAAGAGGAGUUUAAACACUGUGAACUCUGCCUGUGAUGAGGUACUUGAUAUUUAAGUGAAAUAAAAAGUCACACUUGACAAGAUUAAUUAAAAUAAAAAGACUAAAACAUUCAUUCCCUACAACAUUUAGAAAAUGUUAAUUAAAUAUCACAAAAGAAAAUUGGAAAAAGUUAAUUCAUGUACCACUGUGUGCGUUAAUUGACCAACGUGCUAAAAUGGUCAUUCAUUCUUUAUUGGGGAAAAAGACAGGACUAACGACGUAUCUAUAUUUGUACUUUGUACAUAACAGCACCUUAGAUUUGAUUUUUUUUUCAUGGAGCUAACUGUUUCUUUCUUUUAAAAUAAAAGAAGAUAUCUUAAAUGUAAAAUCCAAUUCAUUAAUUAGUAAUUACUUUAGAAUAUAUAGUCAUCAAUGAUGAUCAGUUUAUGAAAAUCUAUCUAAUGAAUUAUAUUAGAGAUAUAGCUAUUCUUCUCUAAUCUUCGAUCUUCUGCUCGAAUUCACUCUAGUUUUUUAUCUCUUCACUCUUUGAACUCACGAUUUCAUCAAUAAUCAUUCAUAUGUCUCCUCUUAUUUACUAGAAAUAAUUUCAUGACAUGGUAUCAAAAUUUACAUGGUUGAAAGGUUUAACAGUUCUAUUUUGCUAUUCAACAGUUCACUUCUGAUAAUGAUUAUGUCCUUCUUCUUUUAUUUCAUUUGAUUUGAUAUAAUUUGGUACUUCUAAUGUUGCUGGUAAUUUUCAAUUUUUUAUAAUUUUGUGCAGCACUUACAUCACUCAUUAUUUUGUGCAGCAAGUAGGAUUUAUAUAGCAAGAGUACAAUCUUAGUUGAUGUAGAAAAGAUUAAGCCAUACUAUCAGAGAGAAGACGAGCACUUGAAUUUGAGAAUCUUCAGUCUCUUCUUAUUGAAUAUGCUGAAUUGACAAUGGAUGAUAUUAUAGAGGCAAAUAUUGGUUCUGAUACUCCAAGAGACAGCUAUUAGUUCAGACAUUAGGAAAUAUUAGGACUAGUUCAGACACUUGAGGUUCUGUAAGUAAUUACCUCAUAUUUUAGUUUUUAAUAAAUUUUCUCGACUCUUUCUACCAAUCUAAUUUUAUUUUUUCUCUUUAUAUUAUUUGACUAGUUAUAUAUUGUUUCUAAUGACAUCUUUUCAUUGUUAUAAUUUCAAUUUAUAACAGCCGGCUUGAUAGAAAUUUUCUGACAGGAGAGGUUCCUACAAAUUUUUGUAAGGGAUGAGUUUGGAUAAUAAAGUUAGAGUGUUUGAGUAAGAAAAAAAGAUGUUGGAGCAAGUUUCUAGGAUGAAACUCACACAAGAGACCAAAAAACUAAGGCAGGCUUGUUUUAAAGUUAAUUAGAAAAGGAGGAAACUUUUGGCCUCCAAAUCUUAUUCAUCAUCACUUAGCUAAGCUACUUGUCUUGUAUAUUCAUAUUCUAAGUAGUACAAACAUCACUUAUUAGAUGGUUUAAAUACAUUAUUAAAUAUUAACAUAGUUUAGGGAACUGGAUGGUAGAUUUGAUUGAUUAGUGUUUAUUGCAAUGCUUGUAUUUUGGUAAAUUUAGUAAGACAAGGUUUUGUAUAGGAGUUAUUACUUUUGAUUUUCAAUAAUAAAAAAUUAUAUAUUAUAUU